AACGAACGCUGGCGGCAGGCCUAACACAUGCAAGUCGAGCGGGGUUUUCGGACCUAGCGGCGGACGGGUGAGUAAUGCGUAGGAAGCUACCCGAUAGAGGGGGAUACCAGUUGGAAACGACUGUUAAUACCGCAUAAUGUCUACGGACCAAAGUGUGGGACCUUCGGGCCACAUGCUAUCGGAUGCGCCUACGUGGGAUUAGCUAGUUGGUGAGGUAAUGGCUCACCAAGGCGACGAUCCCUAGCUGGUUUGAGAGGAUGAUCAGCCACACUGGAACUGAGACACGGUCCAGACUCCUACGGGAGGCAGCAGUGGGGAAUAUUGGACAAUGGGCGCAAGCCUGAUCCAGCCAUGCCGCGUGUGUGAAGAAGGCCUUCGGGUUGUAAAGCACUUUCAGCGAGGAGGAAGGGUGGUGUGUUAAUAGCACAUCAUUUUGACGUUACUCGCAGAAGAAGCACCGGCUAACUCUGUGCCAGCCGCCGCGGUAACAC
rnacentral:rRNA from 1 species